AAGAAUCGGUCUUUGACGAAGGCGUGGACCUCGUCGCAGAGCUCCGUCAGCCUGCAGUGUCGGCUCAGGGCCACCAGGUGGAGCAGAGGCACCACCAGGGACUGAGGGAAGUUCUGCAGACUGUGCUUCGCCCGCCGCUCGCUCUCCACCGCCUCCAGUUGAUUUGAGUGUUCCUGAACGCACCAUGCCGGACGCGUAAGUGGGCGGGACCACUCUGUCUUCCGCAGCGCCGGUUGGACGCCCCUCGCGCCACUCUCUCCGCCCUCAGCCAAUUACGUUACGAGAGCGGCUGAAAACCCGCGCGGCGGAUGAGGCGCCGCGGUGUCGUCAGAGGAGUGAGCGGCAGGAGCUGCAGACCAGACCAGACCAGACCAGUCCAGUUCCACGAUGGGACCAGUUGAAACCAGCCUCGACUCGUGCGAUCCACAUCAAGUCUCAGGUCACAUGACCCUGUACAGAUGGAUCUGUCUGAGGGCGUCGGGGUCCGUAUCUCUGCCCAGAGAGACGUCAUAGUCCACAGGAAGCUCCUCCACCCAACCGGGCUGCAGCGCCUCCUGCUGGACAGUUAAACUCCAUCACAGACUUUAAACCAAUGUGGC